rnacentral:lncRNA from 1 species
GACGUCGGCGAUCCGGAGAUGCCAGGGGGCAGCUGGGACGUGGGCGGUCUGGAGAGGCGCGGGGGCAGCUGAGAUGCAGGCCAUGCAGCCCCGAAGCUCCGAAUCCUGGGAUGACUCCUGUCCAUGUUGGAAGGGACCCUCCCAGUCCUGGCAAGGUUCAAAGGCCUUAGGGCAAGAAAUGUUAGUAGAGUCCUGGAAGACGAUGUGGGGAACGGGUAGCGGCCACCGGAUGGUGAUUGUUCUUCUACAAGACCUUGACAUGGAUGGGGAGAAACAGAGAAGAACCUUCCAAGUUUGUCCCGCUGGACAUGCCCACCACACUUUACCAGCCCUUUCUAGAAGGCCUGUGCAUAACACAUGAAAAAGCCGCUCUCGACCUUCCCCUGACCUUUUAAAAGAAAACAUUUGCUGCAUCUAACCCGCCUAGAUGUAAGGAGGU